GGGGGUAUAGCUCAGUGGUAGAGCGUGUGCUUAGCAUGCACGAGGUCCUGGGUUCAAUCCCCAGUACCUCCA
rnacentral:tRNA from 2 species